AUUGAACGCUAGCGGCAGGCCUAACACAUGCAAGUCGAACGGAGUGGCGGACGGGUGAGUAAUGUAUGGGAAACUGCCUAAUGGAGGGGGAUAACGUCCGGAAACGGGCGCUAAUACCGCAUACUAUACGAUGAGCCUAUGUCGGAUUAGCUAGUUGGUGGGGUAAAGGCCUACCAAGGCGACGAUCCGUAACUGGUCUGAGAGGAUGAUCAGGCACACUGGAACUGAGACACGGUCCAGACUCCCACGGGAGGCAGCAGUGGGGAAUAGUGGACAAGGGGCGAAAGCCUGAUCCAGCCAAGCCGCGUGUGAUAAGAAGGUCUUCGGAUUGUAAAGCACUUUAAGUGGGGAGGCGUUACCAACAGAAUAAGCACCGGCUAACUUCGUGCCAGCAGCCGCGGUAAUUC
rnacentral:rRNA from 1 species